rnacentral:lncRNA from 1 species
AAGAAAUGAUCGUUUAGGAAUAUAAUAGAAUGGGUGUGACAUCUCGUACAAGCCAAGUUAAUUCGUUUACCUGCAAGUAGGAGUCAUUUGCACACACAAAGAAAAUAAAUGAAGAGGAGAUUGCUUCAGAUAUAAAUCAACAAUUCUUUCUUUCGUUACGAUAAACAAAAAAAAAAAAAACCAACAUUCAAAUACAUAAUUAUGUAAAUUACUAACUAUAUGAUUAAUAUUAGAAUCAAAAUCUGUUUUACAUUGAAAAAGUAUACAAUAGAAACCGAAGGACCCACACUGUGACAACUGUC